GUAGUCGUGGCCGAGUGAUUAAGGCAAUGGACUAGAAGUCCAUUGGGUUCUUCCCGCGCCGCAUCGAAUCCUACUGACUACG